UUCCUCAAAAAACAACCAACCAAAUAGGCACUCUGGUUCUACCUCCCUACUUCCUCUGGCAAACAAACAGCCUCAAUCUAAAACAGCGAGAGGAUAAUUUUUUAGUGAUCCCUACUUCCUCUGGCACUCUUCCUCUAUCUCUAAACGGCCAGCCAAAGCUGACAAACCCCCAACAUAUUUUGAUUCAUUUGUUCCUCUCUUUCAAUUGAACUAUUGAAGCAGCAAAGCUAUCGAAGCAAUUUCCACACGGUCCAGUAGCGUCCGUCAUAGUACCCCGGUGACCUGUGGUAUUCAAGAAGUUUCACUAUGGUGAAUCGACCAGAAAAUCAGUCCAAACAAGGAGAUAAUUCUCCAACUCCAUAAUCAAUCACUGUGGAGCCAAUUGAUGCAGAACAUCAAUCAGAACACACUCAAGAAGAAGAAUAUGAAGUUGUGGGAGGUAAAAGGAAAUUGAAAUCAAAAGUGUGGACUCAUUUGUUAGAGAAAUAGGUGAUGAUGGUGUUGAUUUGGGUGUAUGUAAGUAUUGUAAAAAAAAAAAAAGCUACAAAACAGAUAGUACUCAUGGGACAAGUAACUUGCAUGAUCAUCUUAAAAGGUGUGCCAAAAGGCCUAAUCAAGUCAUUAGACAAAUGUUACUCCGGGAUACUAGUAAAAAAGAUGAUGGCAAACAAGAAUUGCAUAAUCAUAUUUUUGAUCAACAACUGUCACGCAAUGAGCUUCCAAUAGCAAUUAUAUUGCACGAAUAUCCAUUGUCUAUUGUUAAUCAUAUUGGUUUUUGAAGAUUUGUUAACAGUUUGCAGUCAUGUUUUAAAGUGAUUUCAAGAAAUAUUAUCAAAGGGGACAUUAUGAAGAUCUAUGAAUCAUAGAAAUUGAAAAUUUGUGAUUUCUCGGAGAAGUUCAAAAGCAAGGUGGCAAUUACAACUGAUAUGUGGACUUCUAACAAUACUAAGAAAGGUUUCAUGUCCAUUACUACACAUUACAUUAAUGACUCUUGGAUUUUACAGUCUCAAAUUUCGAGAUUUUAUCAUAAUACCUUGGAAGCAUUGAUGUGUGCUCGCACUUGGUUAUGAAAUGAAGUCAAUGUUACUUGCUCUACUUUAGAAGGGAGUUCAUAUUCCACUUCGUUUGAUGAAGAAGAUGAUAUUGAUUGUGUUACAGAAUAAGUUCACAAAUUUGAUGAUGUUGCUUUACUUCACAUGUUCAUGAUGAUAUUUACAAAGGAAAUGGCAAAGGUAUCGUGACAUGUGAAGGAGGAAAUUGAAGACUUGAUGACUAAUUACAUGUUUUAAUAAAAUGAUUAUUAAAAUUCAAAAGUGAAAAUUUGAUUGUUUUAGUUGUA